ACGGGGGGAACGAGCGUUGUUCGGAUUUACUGGGCGUAAAGGGCACGCAGGUGGGAAAGCAAGUCAGAUGUGAAACCCCAAAGCUUAACUUUGGGACUGCAUUUGAUACUGUUUUUCUUGAGUACGAGAGAGGAUGGCAGAAUUCUUGGUGUAGCGGUGAAAUGCGUAGAUAUCAAGAAGAAUACCGGUGGCGAAGGCGGCCAUCUGGCUCGAUACUGACGCUCAGGUGCGAAGGUCGGGGGAGCAAACAGGAUUAGAUACCCUGGUAGUCCCGACAGUAAACGAUGGGAACUAGGUGUUGGAGGUAUCGACCCCUCCAGUGCCGCAGCUAACGCAUUAAGUUCCCCGCCUGGGGAGUACGAUCGCAAGAUUG
rnacentral:rRNA from 1 species